UUUAGAAGGGNUACCCAGGGACAUGAGGGGCAUCAUUUCCGGAUACUGGGUGAAAGGGAGCGCAGGCGGAAACAAUGAAGGAAGUGAAAACCAUGGGCUCAACCCAUGAAUUCCUUUAAAAACUGUUUUUCUUGAGUAGUGCAGAGGUAGAUGGAAUUCCCGGUGUAGCGGUGGAAUGCGUAGAUAUCGGGAGGAACACCAGUGGCGAAGGCGGUCUACUGGGCACCAACUGACGCUGAGGCUCGAAAGCAUGGGUAGCAAACAGGAUUAGAUACCCUGGUAGUCCAUGCCGUAAACGAUGAUUACUAGGUGUUGGGGGAUUGACCCCCUCAGUGCCGCAGUUAACACAAUAAGUAAUCCACCUGGGGAGUACGACCGCAAGGUUGAAACUCAAAGGAAUUGACGGGGGCCCGCACAAGCAGUGGAGUAUGUGGUUUAAUUCGAAGCAACGCGAAGAACCUUACCAGGUCUUGACAUCCGAUGCAUAGCACAGAGAUGUGUGAAAUCCUUCGGGACAUCGAGACAGGUGGUGCAUGGUUGUCGUCAGCUCGUGUCGUGAGAUGUUGGGUUAAGUCCCGCAACGAGCGCAACCCUUAUUGCCAGUUACUACGUUAAGAGGACUCUGGCGAGACUGCCGUUGACAAAACGGAGGAAGGUGGGGAUGACGUCAAAUCAUCAUGCCCUUUAUGACCUGGGCUACACACGUACUACAAUGGCGUUAAACAAAGAGAAGCAAGACCGCGAGGUGGAGCAAAACUCAAAAACAACGUCUCAGUUCAGAUUGCAGGCUGCAACUCGCCUGCAUGAAGUCGGAAUUGCUAGUAAUCGCGGAUCAGCAUGCCGCGGUGAAUACGUUCCCGGGCCUUGUACACACCGCCCGUCACACCAUGAGAGCCGGGGGGACCCGAAGUCGAUAGUCUAACCGCAAGGAGGACGUCGCCGAAGGUAAAACUGGUGAUUGGGGAAAGGUCGUAACAAGGUAGCCAAGGGCGAAUUCGUUCCUUAACGA
rnacentral:rRNA from 1 species